AUGGGACUGUGGUCAAUGGUCACUGCACCUGCAUGGCUGGCUUGGGUAGCAUGUGUUCCCAUGUCGCAGCCAUCCUCUUCAAAGUGGAGGCAUGUCACCGUACUGGCUUGACUACAGAUGCAUGUACAUCACAACUCUGUGAAUGGAACAAGACAUUUGUGAAGAAGAUUAAAUCUGGGCCAGUCGUUGAUAUGGAUUUUUCCAAGCCAAAUCACAACAAAACAACACGGACAGUCGAGCCUCAGCCUACCAAAGAGAUCAAGGAGCCAAAUCACAGUGAUUUUAUUGCAUUCCUUGCUGAUGUGCAAAAGGUAAACCCCACCACCGUCUUACUCAGUGUAGUGCCAGAGUUUUCUACAGCCACAGAGGAACCAACCCCUCUACACAUGCCCAUACCUCUUACUACACUACUAUACAAACCCGAGUAUAGAACCAUGUCAACACCAGA